GAUUAGCAUGCGAGUCGAGAGGUGUAAGACCUCGGCAUACUGCUCAGUAACACGUGCGAUAACCUACCCUCGGGAGGGGGAUAACCCCGGGAAACUGGCGGUUAAUACCCCAUAGACUAUGGAUGCUGGAAUGCUUCGUAGUUGAAAGGUCCGCCGCCCGAGGAUGGGUCUGCGGCCGAUUAGGUUGUUGUUGGGGUAACGGCCCAACAAGCCUGUAAUCGGUACGGGUUGUGGGAGCAAGAGCCCGGAGAUGGAUUCUGAGACACGAAUCCNGGCCCUACGGGGCGCAGCAGGGGCGAAAACUUUACAAUGCGGGAAACCGUGAUAAGGGAACUCCGAGUGCCCGUAAAAUCGGGCUGUUAAUCUGUUUAAAUAACAGGUUGAGA
rnacentral:rRNA from 1 species